ensembl:snRNA U4 U4 spliceosomal RNA
AGCUUUGCGCAGCGGCAGUUUAGUAGCCAAUGAAGUUUAUCUGAGGCACGAUUAUUGCUAAUUAAAUAGGAGAUUGAUUCCUUCAGAUUCAUUGCUGAACUACAUUUUGCUUUAAAAAA